GAUGAACGCUGGCGGCGUGCCUAAUACAUGCAAGUCGAGCGAAUGGAUUAAGAGCUUGCUCUUAUGAAGUUAGCGGCGGACGGGUGAGUAACACGUGGGUAACCUGCCCAUAAGACUGGGAUAACUCCGGGAAACCGGGGCUAAUACCGGAUAACAUUUUGAACCGCAGGGUUCGAAAUUGAAAGGCGGCUUCGGCUGUCACUUAUGGAUGGACCCGCGUCGCAUUAGCUAGUUGGUGAGGUAACGGCUCACCAAGGCAACGAUGCGUAGCCGACCUGAGAGGGUGAUCGGCCACACUGGGACUUAGACACGGCCCAGACUCCUACGUGAGGCAGCAGUAGGGAAUCUUCCGCAAUGGACGAAAGUCUGACGGAGCAACGCCGCGUGAGUGAUGAAGGCUUUCGGGUCGUAAAACUCUGUUGUUAGGGAAGAACAAGUGCUAGUUGAAUAAGCUGGCACCUUGACGGUACCUAACCAGAAAGCCACGGCUAACUACGUGCCAGCCGCCGCGGUAA
rnacentral:rRNA from 1 species